rnacentral:rRNA from 1 species
AAAUUGAAGAGUUUGAUCAUGGCUCAGAUUGAACGCUGGCGGCAGGCCUAACACAUGCAAGUCGAACGGUAGCACAGAGAGCUUGCUCUCGGGUGACGAGUGGCGGACGGGUGAGUAAUGUCUGGGAAACUGCCCGAUGGAGGGGGAUAACUACUGGAAACGGUAGCUAAUACCGCAUAACGUCGCAAGACCAAAGUGGGGGACCUUCGGGCCUCACACCAUCGGAUGUGCCCAGAUGGGAUUAGCUAGUAGGUGGGGUAACGGCUCACCUAGGCGACGAUCCCUAGCUGGUCUGAGAGGAUGACCAGCCACACUGGAACUGAGACACGGUCCAGACUCCUACGGGAGGCAGCAGUGGGGAAUAUUGCACAAUGGGCGCAAGCCUGAUGCAGCCAUGCCGCGUGUAUGAAGAAGGCCUUCGGGUUGUAAAGUACUUUCAGCGAGGAGGAAGGCGUUGUGGUUAAUAACCACAGCGAUUGACGUUACUCGCAGAAGAAGCACCGGCUAACUCCGUGCCAGCAGCCGCGGUAAUACGGAGGGUGCAAGCGUUAAUCGGAAUUACUGGGCGUAAAGCGCACGCAGGCGGUUUGUUAAGUCAGAUGUGAAAUCCCCGGGCUCAACCUGGGAACUGCAUUUGAAACUGGCAAGCUUGAGUCUCGUAGAGGGGGGUAGAAUUCCAGGUGUAGCGGUGAAAUGCGUAGA